rnacentral:rRNA from 1 species
GACGAACGCUGGCGGCGUGCCUAAUACAUGCAAGUAGAACGCUGAAGGAGGAGCUUGCUUCUCUGGAUGAGUUGCGAACGGGUGAGUAACGCGUAGGUAACCUGCCUGGUAGCGGGGGAUAACUAUUGGAAACGAUAGCUAAUACCGCAUAAGAGUAGAUGUCGCAUGACAUUUUCUUAAAGGUUUCAAUUUCAUCACUACCAGAUGGACCUGCGUUUUAUUAGGUAGUUGGUGAGGUGACGGCUCACCAAGGCAACGAUACAUAGCCGACCUGAGAGGGUGAUCAGCCAAACUGGGAGGGGGACAAGGCCCAGAGGGAUACGGGAGGCAGCAGGAGGGAAACUGCGGGAAUGGACGGAAGUCAGACCGAGCAAGGCCGAGUGAGUGAAGAAGGAUUUCGGAUCGUAAAGCUCUGUUGUAAGAGAAGAAAGAGUGUGAGAGUGGAAAGUUCACAGUGUGACGGUAACUUAACAGAAAGGGACGGCUAACUACGUG